UAAAACUAGUUUUGGGAGAGACAUGAUUUCAUGUGAAGUCAGUUUCUUGCUGCUAUGUAUUGGGGAGUUUGUGAAAUUUGGGUUUGGGACUAAUUUGCUCUUGCUACCCUGCAUUUUUAAUGUCAAUCAUGAGGGAACUUUUGUGCAACUGUAACGUGCCUGCUAGGUCACAGGUUUGAAUCCUAAAAAUAACCUUUUUGCUUGUGGAGGUAUGUCUUCAUAUAUCUACUAGCUGCAAACCCAGCAGUUGGGAGCCUUAUGCAUUGGAUCCAACCUUUUUUCUUGAAGUCAUCGUCUGUGAGCCUAUGCUGAGAUUUCAUUUAUACAACAUUUUAAACAUCAUCACAAGGAAAACACAAGUUCAGAAAAAUAGCAGUUGCACUUGGAGUCAGUCUUAAUUGUGCUUCUCUCAUGGUUUUGCUCUUUGGGAUCUUUUGGUAUAGACAUAAACGACAGCACCAGGCCAUCCUAUUUAUUGGUGAAUAUAAAGAAGAGGGAAUUGUCAGCUUGAAAAAUCUCAAGACUUUCACGUUCAGAGAGCUCCAACAGGCAACAAAUAGUUUCAAUUCUAAGAACAUACUUGGGGCUGGAGGUUUUGGCAAUGUUUAUAGGGGAAAACUUGGUGACGGCUCUAUGGUGGCAGUGAAAAGACUGAAGGAUGUUAAUGAAAGUUCUGGUGAAUCAGUUUCGAACAGAAUUGGAGAUUAUCAGUUUGGCAGUUCAUCGCAAUUUACUUCGCUUAAUUGGAUAUUGUGCUACUCCUAAUGAAAAGCUUCUGGUUUAUCCUUAUAUGUCUAAUGACAGUGUGGCAUCCAGGCUUAGAGG